rnacentral:lncRNA from 1 species
UUUCAGAUAUCAAGCCUUCUUUCUUCAAGUAAUGGAGGGACAAUAGUGAUUGAAGAAGAGGCAAUGAAAAAUAAAUGGUAAAUUCAGAAGAAAAGGGUUGUUUUUUGGAUCAAACAUAUACUACAAUUUUAUGGUUUAGAGAUCCAAAGAAGAGAGGCUGCAUAUGCAUUCCCUCCCUUUGUCUCUCUGUUUUUCCUUUUGUCUUUCUCCCUCAACCUUUUUCUUCUUCUGUGCAAUACAUAUUUG